AUCCAUGGCCGUACCACCCCUAAUAUGCCUGAUUUCAGAAGCUAAGCAGGGCUUGACUUGGUUAGUAUUCAGAUGGGAGACAGUCUGGAAAUACAAAGUGCUGUGGAUU
rnacentral:rRNA from 1 species